rnacentral:pre_miRNA from 1 species
CUGCCCCCUGUGAGCUUCCCUUUGUCAUCCUAUGCCUGAGCCAUCCUGGAGGCUGGGACGGCCAAGGGAGGCCCACGGGAGCCACA